rnacentral:sRNA from 1 species
AGGUGGUAGGAAAGCAAGCACUAAAGAUUUUUCUAGUCCCUUCUUGAAGCACAUUCAGAGUCUGGGGACUGUCAAGAGAAUGAAAGUGAGAAAGCUUUUGCUACACAUCCUGCACAAUCCAACACUAACUCUGUUUUAUUCUCCAGGACCUACAGAUAGAACGAGAGAGGAGUUCAUAUAAUAUAUCUGGUGGCUGCACGGCCCUCAUUGUGAUUUGCCUUUUGGGGAAGCUGUAUGUUGCAAAUGCUGGGGAUAGCAGGGCCAUAAUCAUCAGAAAUGGAGAAAUUAUCCCCAUGUCUUCAGAAUUUACCCCCGAGACGGAGCGCCAGCGACUUCAGUACCUGGCAUUCAUGCAGCCUCACUUGCUGGGAAAUGAGUUCACACAUUUGGAGUUUCCAAGGAGAGUACAGAGAAAGGAGCUUGGAAAGAAGAUGCUCUACAGGGACUUUAAUAUGACAGGCUGGGCAUACAAAACCAUUGAGGAUGAGGACUUGAAGUUCCCCCUUAUAUAUGGAGAAGGCAAGAAGGCCCGGGUAAUGGCAACUAUUGGAGUGACCAGGGGACUUGGGGACCAUGACCUGAAG